rnacentral:rRNA from 1 species
CUACGGAGGGGACUAGCGUUGUUCGGAAUUACUGGGCGUAAAGAGUUCGUAGGCGGACUGAUAAGUAAGAGGUGAAAUCCCAGGGCUCAACCCUGGAACUGCCUUUUAAACUGUCAGUCUAGAGACCGGAAGAGGUUAGGGGAAUACCUAGUGUAGAGGUGAAAUUCGUAGAUAUUAGGUGGAACACCAGUGGCGAAGGCGCCUAACUGGUCCGGUACUGACGCUGAGGAACGAAAGCGUGGGGAGCAAACAGGAUUAGAUACCCUAGUAGUCC